CCAAGCCGACGAUGCCUAUGGGUUCUAAAAGGAAGGCCCACACACUGGUACUGAGACACGGACCAGACUCCUACGGGAGGCAGCAGUGAGGAAUAUUGGUCAAUGGGUGAGAGCCUGAACCAGCCAUGCCGCGUGCAGGAAGUGCCCUUAGGGUGUUAUAUCUGCUUAGCAGGGGAAGACAAAGGCGUACGUGUACGCCCUUGGCGGUACCCUGUCAACAAGCACCGGCUAACUCCGUGCCAGCAGCCGCGGUAAUACGGAGGGUGCCAGCGUUAUCCGGAUUUAUUAGGUUUAAAGGGUGUGCAGGCGGACUAAACAAGUCGGCUGUGAAACUUACGGGCUCAACCCGUGGCUUGCGGUCGAAACUGUUGGUCUUGAGUGAAGAUGCUGCAGGCGGAAUGUGUGGUGUAGCGGUGAAAUGCAUAGAUACCACCCAGAACCCCGAUUGCGAAGGCAGGUUGCAAAACUUCCACUGACGCUGAUGCACGAAAGCGUGGGUAGCGAACAGGAUUAGAUACCCUGGUAGUCCACGCAGUAAACGAUGACCACUGGCUUUUGGUGAUACACAAUCAGAGGCUGAGCGAAAGCAUUAAGUGGUCCACCUGGGGAUUACGUUCGCAAGAAUGAAACUCAAAGGAAUUGACGGGGGCCCGCACAAGCGGAGGAACAUGUGGUUUAAUUCGAUGAUACGCGAGGAACCUUACCUGGGCUUGAACUGUCAGUGACGCUUGGGGAAACCCAAGUUCCCUUCUGGGCGCUGUCAGAGGUGCUGCAUGGCUGUCGUCAGCUCGUGCCGUGAGGUGUCGGGUUAAGUCCCAUAACGAGC
rnacentral:rRNA from 1 species